CGUCUAUAUACGUAUAGCAUAUCAAUAAGCGGAGGAAAAGAAACUAACUAGGAUUCCCUUAGUAACGGCGAGUGAAGCGGGAAGAGCUCAAAUUUGAAAUCUUCAAGGUUCUACCUUGACGAAUUGUAGUUUAAAGAAGUGUUUUCUGUUAGAUGAGUAGCAAAAGUUCCUUGGAAUGGGACAUCAUAGAGGGUGAGAAUCCCGUAUUUGGUUAUUCAUUCUAGCUUUGUGAUACACUUUCAAAGAGUCGGAUUGUUUGGGAAUGCAGUCCAAAAUGGGUGGUAAAUUUCAUCUAAAGCUAAAUAUUGGCGAGAGACCGAUAGCGAACAAGUACCGUGAGGGAAAGAUGAAAAGAACUUUGAAAAGAGAGUUAAACAGUACGUGAAAUUGUCAAAAGGGAAGCGUUUGACACCAGUGUUGUUCUUCCGAAAAUCAAUUACGAAUGGCUUGAUUUUGUGUUGUAUUGACCUUAUCAGCUUUCUGCACUUUUUUCGAGUCUUUCUUAAUGCACUUUUCGGUUAACAAGUCAACAUCAAUUUCUUUUGUUGUAAAAGAGUCAUUCGGAAGGUGGCUUUCCUUUCGGAUGAAAGUGUUUAUAGCCUUUGGCUUCUGCAAUCGGAGAGAUUGAGGUCUGCAGCGUAGAUCCUUCUGGAUUAGAUCACUUAGAUGCUAAGUUAUAGCUUUUCAUAGACAACUUGUUGACUAUGUUUAGUCAUUGUAGCUUAGCUCGCUGACGCUAUUUUACCUACGCUUAGGAUGUUGACUGAUAUGUAGUCGUA
rnacentral:rRNA from 1 species